UUCGGUUCGGUUCGGUUCUAACCGAAUGCUCACCCCUAGAAAUGGUUAUGUGCCAGCAUACAGUUUUAAUAAUCAACUCUUAUACUAGUGAAAGUGGAGUUGCAAUGAGUCAAUUUGAUUAUAAGAAUGGNNNNNNNNNNUAUAGAAAUGGUCCUGAAAUGCUUUGACAAACAAAGCCUUUGAAGGAAAAGCAACUAAUAGUUCUCAUCCAGGACAUAACUAGUUUUCAGAUGGGAAUCAUACUUGAGGAAAAGAC
rnacentral:misc_RNA from 1 species